rnacentral:rRNA from 1 species
GAUCAUGGCUCAGAUUGAACGCUGGCGGCAUGCCUUACACAUGCAAGUCGAACGGCAGCGGACCUUCGGGUGCCGGCGAGUGGCGAACGGGUGAGUAAUGCAUCGGAACGUGCCAUUGAGUGGGGGAUAACGUAGCGAAAGUUACGCUAAUACCGCAUAUUCUGUGAGCAGGAAAGCAGGGGACCGCAAGGCCUUGCGCUCUUUGAGCGGCCGAUGUCAGAUUAGCUAGUUGGUGAGGUAAAGGCUUACCAAGGCGACGAUCUGUAGCGGGUCUGAGAGGAUGAUCCGCCACACUGGAACUGAGACACGGUCCAGACUCCUACGGGAGGCAGCAGUGGGGAAUUUUGGACAAUGGGCGCAAGCCUGAUCCAGCCAUGCCGCGUGAGUGAAGAAGGCCUUCGGGUUGUAAAGCUCUUUCGGCCGGGAAGAAAUCGCAUGGGUUAAUACCCUGUGUGGAUGACGGUACCGGAAUAAGAAGCACCGGCUAACUACGUG